CUUAGCUUCUUUAAUACGCUUCACUUCACUCCAAAACCCUAAUACCCAUCUCCUGCAUCCGGUUCUUCCUUCUUCAUCGAUUGAUCUUCGAAAAACAUAGAUUUCUUCAUCUUCAAUCGCGAGUGGAAGCAACCAGUCCUUAUUAUGCGGCGUAUAAGGUUUUCCGAUUAAAUUCACGUAUUGAAGUAGAUUUUGAGCAAUUG